CCUUCUUCCAUAGCGAGCCAUCAAUCCAAGUUCCGGCAAUCUUGGAAAUUUGAUGAGGCUCGAGAUCAACAUAUUCCAACUUGAACUCAGCUUGAGCAGACGCUUGGUAAAUUUGAGAUGAGCAGAGCUCAUCCCAGCUCGCUCCAGCUGAACUAGUUUACACCCCUAACUGCAACAGAAAGCAGCUUGAAUAAUAGGUCUUCCCCUGCUAUUCGAUUAUCGAAGAAGCGUAGCUUGUGCGGGAAGCAUGCUU
rnacentral:lncRNA from 1 species